GCGGAGGAAAAGAAACCAACAGGGAUUGCCUCAGUAACGGCGAGUGAAGCGGCAACAGCUCAAAUUUGAAAUCUGGUCCCCUCUGGGGGCCCGAGUUGUAAUUUGAAGAGGAUGCUUUUGGCGAGGCGCCGUCCGAGUUCCCUGGAACGGGACGCCGCAGAGGGUGAGAGCCCCGUACGGUCGGACGCCGAGCCUCUGUAAAGCUCCUUCGACGAGUCGAGUAGUUUGGGAAUGCUGCUCAAAAUGGGAGGUAAACCCCUUCUAAAGCUAAAUACCGGCCAGAGACCGAUAGCGCACAAGUAGAGUGAUCGAAAGAUGAAAAGCACUUUGAAAAGAGAGUUAAAAAGCACGUGAAAUUGUUAAAAGGGAAGCGCUUGCGACCAGACUUGCGCCCGUCGGAUCAACCGUCGCUUGCGGCGGCGCACUCCGGCGGGCUCAGGCCAGCAUCAGUUCGCUCGGGGGGAGAAAGGCGGCGGGAAUGUAGCUCCUCGGAGUGUUAUAGCCCGCCGUGUAAUACCCUCGGGUGGACUGAGGACCGCGCGUAGCAA
rnacentral:sRNA from 2 species